GACACCUCCCGUGGGCGUGGACUGAGGCCGCACUACGGCUUCCUAGCCGCUUGGCCGGGGUUAGGUCUGGCGACGGUUCCUGCGCUUCCGGGCCCGCAUCCCACAGUGUGGAUGGCUGUGGGCAGUGGGGCGCCCACGUAUCACCACGGCAACCGCAGGGCCUGCAGGCGCCUGACGUCGCGCUCUCCCGGCGGCGCGUGACGCAGCGCUGCGGGAGGAAGCCGGGGGGUCCGCGCAGGGGGCGCCCCUCGCCUCCCGCGUGCGGGCGUCCCGCCCCGGCCCAACGCGCGCUUUGUUCUUUGUUCUGGUCCGGGCGAGGGUGGCACCCGCCUGGCCCGCGCAACAGACGCCUCCCGCGACGCGCGUCAACAGGUGUGCCCGCCGGUGUCGCCGCAGCGCCCAGGAGCGGGCCGGGCCGGGAUGAGCGCCUGACAUGGAAGGUCUAUGUUCCACCGAUGCUGCCCGAGGGCGACGUCCCUUCUUCCCAGCGGCUGGUUUUCAGGAAUCCGUGACCUUCAAGGACGUGGUAGUAGACUUCACCCAGGAAGAAUGGAAGCAGCUGGACCCUGGACAGAGGGACCUCUUCCGGGAUGUGACCCUGGAAAACUACACACAUCUGGUCUCCAUAGGACUGCAAGUUUCCAAACCUGACGUGAUUUCCCAGUUAGAGCAAGGGACGGAACCGUGGACCGAGGAGCCUGGUGUCACCGGGCACACAGGCACCUGUGGAGGGACACUGCUGUUGUACUUUCUUUCAGAUUGGGAGCCAAGACGUGAGGGCAGUGCGUCACCUCCAGAAGUGGGCACUGCCGACGGGGAGCAGCCUUCAGAGGCGCCAGUGGAGAAGCACAGACAGCAGGGUCCCUGCGCCCCCGGAGCCCCGGAUGCGUGGGAGACUGCAGGCAGCCUGGGGAGGCAACAGGUGCUGCCGCAGGAAAAACCAGAGGUGACCAAAAGGACGGCAGCCACGUGUGAGCAGGGCCCUGGGAGCGCUGAGAGCGGGAAGAGCAGCGUGUGCUCCCACACUGGAACACAGCCGGAAGCAUCCCCAGAGCAGACCUCCACUCAGACAGACGGCAGGAAGCACCCACACCCAGUGAAAAAAGAGAAAUCUUGUAAGUGCAAUGAAUGUGGCAAAGCUUUUAGCUAUUGUUCAGCUCUUAUUCGCCAUCAGCGAACACAUACCGGAGAGAAACCCUACAAAUGCAACGAAUGUGAAAAGGCUUUCAGCCGCAGCGAAAACCUUAUAAACCAUCAAAGGAUCCAUACUGGAGACAAACCGUACAAAUGUGACCAGUGCGGGAAGGGCUUCAUUGAGGGUCCGUCUCUUACUCAGCAUCAGCGAAUCCACACUGGAGAAAAGCCCUACAAGUGUGACGAGUGUGGGAAGGCCUUCAGCCAGAGGACCCACCUUGUUCAGCACCAGAGAAUCCACACUGGGGAGAAGCCAUACACGUGCAGUGAGUGUGGCAAAGCUUUUAGCCAGAGAGGCCACUUUAUGGAACAUCAGAAAAUCCACACAGGAGAAAAGCCUUUUAAAUGUGACGAGUGUGAUAAAACCUUCACCAGGAGCACGCACCUCACCCAACACCAAAAGAUUCAUACUGGCGAGAAAACCUACAAAUGCAACGAGUGUGGGAAGGCCUUCAACGGGCCCUCCACGUUCAUCCGGCACCACAUGAUCCACACGGGGGAGAAGCCCUACGAGUGCAGCGAGUGCGGGAAAGCCUUCAGCCAGCACUCGAACCUCACGCAGCACCAGAAGACCCACACCGGGGAGAAGCCCUACGACUGUGCGGAAUGCGGGAAGUCGUUCAGCUACUGGUCGUCCCUCGCCCAGCAUCUGAAAAUUCAUACUGGAGAAAAGCCUUACAAGUGCAGCGAAUGUGGAAAGGCCUUCAGCUACUGCUCAUCCCUCACCCAGCAUCGCAGAAUCCACACCCGAGAAAAGCCCUUCGCCUGCAGCGAGUGUGGAAAGGCUUUCAGUUACCUCUCCAACCUGAAUCAGCAUCAGAAGACGCACACCCAGGAGAAGGCCUACGAGUGCAAGGAGUGCGGGAAGGCCUUUAUUCGGAGCUCCUCGCUCGCCAAGCACGAGAGAAUCCACACCGGAGAGAAGCCCUACCAGUGUCACGAGUGUGGCAAAACCUUCAGCUACGGCUCGUCCCUGAUCCAGCACAGGAAGAUCCACACCGGGGAGAGGCCGUACAAGUGCAGCGAGUGCGGGAGGGCCUUCAACCAGAACAUACACCUCACGCAGCACAAGCGGAUCCACUCGGGCGCGAAGCCCUACGCGUGCCCCGAGUGCGGGAAGGCCUUCCGCCACUGCUCGUCUCUCGCGCAGCACCAGAAAACCCACGCAGAGGAAAAACCCUACCGGUGCGGGAAGUGCGACAAGGCGUUCAGCCAGAGCGCCCACCUGGCGCAGCACCAGCGGGUCCACAGCGGGGAGAAGCCCCACGAGUGCGGCGCGUGGGACGGGGCCUUAGGGCGCAGCCGCGGCGAGGCCCGGAGUGCCCACGCCGGUGAGAAGCCCUUCGGCUGUGCCGGCUGUGGGAAAGCCUUCCGGUUCCGCUCCGCACUCAGCAAGCACCAGAGGCUGCACCCCGGCGUCUGCCUGUCCUAGGGGCCGGCGCCCAGGAAGCAAAGCCCACCAGAAGCUGGGGGCGGGGCUGCGCUGCCCAGUUGUUACUGAGCAACCCUGUGACAUCAACUCAGAGCUUUCACGUGGAAUGAAGGAUUGGAAUAGAUGACCUCAGAGAGGCACGAGUGGAGUUUCUCAGCCUGACCUCUUCGGCUGAGAACCUGGAACAAACAGGGCACAUGGGCUGAUCGAGAGUCUUACACGUUUUUCCACCGAUGCGUUGGAGGGAGAAAGCACUGCAGAUUUUCAGGUGCAGUUCUCGGUUAUAUAACUGCUCAGGGACCUGCUUUGCAUUUAUUUGGUCACCUUCUCAACUGACAGUGCCAGACAGUGCAGAACAGGAUUCAGGAAGUAGCAUGGCCAUGCAGUCCUGGGACCUUUUCCUGUUGUAACUUGAAACAGCUUUAAGGAUAUGUUACUUAGGUGUCUGUUAAUUUCUCAAGGCAUCUUUCCGAGGGAGGUGUGAAGGUCACCGCACGGCAUGGGGACCGAGGUUCAGGACAGGCUUUGUGGGACCUCUGAGCCAAUGCCAUGCUGUGGACACACGAGGUACCCAUGUGCAGGGAACAGUGCGGUCCUGUGCCAGGAGGUGCCGGGAUGCUUCGGAAGAUGUGUGCCUUUCCCAGUCCUGUGUGAAGAAGUACAUCUUGGGUAGAGAUUUGUCCUUAACCCUGAAAGAUGGUGCUUGGCUCCACUCACUCUUUGUCUCCCCGUCGAGCCUGUCAGGUCGGCCAUGCCCAGGCCAAGCCACAGCCCUGCACAUGUGUUCAAUCCCAGCCUCAGCGGCUUCCAACAAUCCUCCCAGAGCCCGUGGGUUUGACUUGCUGCUCUGGACUUGCUGGGACUCAGGUUUCUCCAGUACCACGGAGCUGCCCAUAGCCACAUCCUUACCACCUCCUGCCCUGGCCUGUACUGUAAAAGCAGGAAAAAGAAGUGAUUCUAAAUAAACUCUCACCUGGUCUUUUUUCUUAA